rnacentral:rRNA from 1 species
UACAGAGGCCCCAAGCGUUACUGAGAAUCACUGGGUUUAAAGGGUGCGUAGGUGGUCCGUUAAGUUCGUUGUGAAAGCCCUGGGCUCAACCCAGGAACUGCUUCGAACACUGGCGGACUCGAGGCUAGUAGGGGUUACUGGAACUGACGGUGGAGCGGUGAAAUGCGUAGAUAUCGUCAGGAACGCCAAUGGUGAAGACAGGUAACUGGGCUAGUUCUGACACUGAGGCACGAAAGCGUGGGGAGCGAACGGG